rnacentral:misc_RNA from 1 species
AAUCAAAAUAAUUCCUAAAUCUAAUCUUCCUUGACUGCAUCACAUAGAUUAUGUAAAGAUGGGUAAAGAGAAAAGAAAAAGAAUCUUAAACACACCAAACCAUCUCCUAGAAAAGAAGAUGUGACCCCAUUCUCCACCACAUACUAUAAUUGCCCAACAUGAAAAUAGAAACGCAAGAGUAUAGUGGUAAUCUUUUCUAGAUAAUUAUACUAUUUCAAUUGUGAACCAACCACACUACCACAGUAAUGUGAAACGUAGGACCUUUGUUCUUGGGAAUCUAAUAACCAACAAUCACAUUCCUAGGGCAGUAAUUCAAAGAGGUAAAAUUCUGCAAGCCAAAUUCUACUAAAGUACUAUUCUUUCACUAAAGAUGUUUCCUACAUAUAAGCAUAGACCACAGAUUUUGGAAGCAACAAAUAUAUUAAAGGAACUUUAGAGCUUGGUAAUAGGUAAAUUUUAUGAAGUUAAAGAUUGCCAUUCUUUCAUAUGCUCUCUCUAUUGCACAUACACCUGCUCCCUUUCAACAACAUUUCCAUGAUAUAUAUUGGUAUUAAAACUAUAACAAUAGGAACUUGUCUAAAAACCAAAUAAUACUCUUACCACUCAAUAAACUAAAAAUUUGUCUUCCUCUUUAACGGAAAAAAUAGAAAUAGGCAUAGGACUAAUGCUGAUAUUAGGAACAAGGGCCUUAUCAAUUAUUUGCGAUCUAGUUACGGACAAAGUAUGUAAUAAGUACAUUAGUAGUGAGCAAAUUGAGAAAUUUUAUAUGGUCUUUUGUAGCAAAACAACAUUUUUAUUUCAUCAGUCUUCCAACAGAACUUUUUACAAAUA